rnacentral:rRNA from 1 species
UACAGAGGCCUCGAGCGUUAGGUGGAAUCACUGGGCUUAAAGCGUGUGUAGGCGGAUUGGUAAGUACCUUGUGAAAUCCCACAGCUUAACUGUGGAACUGCUCGGUAUACUGCUGAUCUUGAGCCACUCAGGGGCUACCGGAACAAAUGGUGGAGCGGUGAAAUGCGUAGAUAUCAUUUGGAACGCCAAUGGUGAAAACAGGUAGCUGGGGGUGUGCUGACGCUGAGACACGAAAGCCAGGGGAGCAAACGGG